UCGAACGCUUCUUUUUCCACCGGAGCUUGCUCCACCGGAAAAAGAGGAGUGGCGAACGGGUGAGUAACACGUGGGUAACCUGCCCAUCAGAAGGGGAUAACACUUGGAAACAGGUGCUAAUACCGUAUAACAAUCGAAACCGCAUGGUUUUGAUUUGAAAGGCGCUUUCGGGUGUCGCUGAUGGAUGGACCCGCGGUGCAUUAGCUAGUUGGUGAGGUAACGGCUCACCAAGGCCACGAUGCAUAGCCGACCUGAGAGGGUGAUCGGCCACAUUGGGACUGAGACACGGCCCAAACUCCUACGGGAGGCAGCAGUAGGGAAUCUUCGGCAAUGGACGAAAGUCUGACCGAGCAACGCCGCGUGAGUGAAGAAGGUUUUCGGAUCGUAAAACUCUGUUGUUAGAGAAGAACAAGGAUGAGAGUAACUGUUCAUCCCUUGACGGUAUCUAACCAGAAAGCCACGGCUAACUACGUGCCAGCAGCCGCGGUAAUACGUAGGUGGCAAGCGUUGUCCGGAUUUAUUGGGCGUAAAGCG
rnacentral:rRNA from 1 species